UACGAAGGGGGCUAGCGUUGCUCGGAAUCACUGGGCGUAAAGCGCACGUAGGCGGCUUUCUAAGUCAGGGGUGAAAUCCCGGAGCUCAACUCCGGAACUGCCUUUGAUACUGGGAAGCUCGAGUCCGGGAGAGGUGAGUGGAACUGCGAGUGUAGAGGUGAAAUUCGUAGAUAUUCGCAAGAACACCAGUGGCGAAGGCGGCUCACUGGCCCGGUACUGACGCUGAGGUGCGAAAGCGUGGGGAGCAAACAGG
rnacentral:rRNA from 1 species